rnacentral:rRNA from 1 species
AUUGAACGCUGGCGGCAGGCUUAACACAUGCAAGUCGAGCGGAGAGAGGUAGCUUGCUACUGAUCUUAGCGGCGGACGGGUGAGUAAUGCUUAGGAAUCUGCCUAUUAGUGGGGGACAACAUUUCGAAAGGAAUGCUAAUACCGCAUACGUCCUACGGGAGAAAGCAGGGGAUCUUCGGACCUUGCGCUAAUAGAUGAGCCUAAGUCGGAUUAGCUAGUUGGUGGGGUAAAGGCCUACCAAGGCGACGAUCUGUAGCGGGUCUGAGAGGAUGGUCCGCCACACUGGGACUGAGACACGGCCCAGACUCCUACGGGAGGCAGCAGUGGGGAAUAUUGGACAAUGGGCGCAAGCCUGAUCCAGCCAUGCCGCGUGUGUGAAGAAGGCCUUAUGGUUGUAAAGCACUUUAAGCGAGGAGGAGGCUACUUUAGUUAAUACCUAGAGAUAGUGGACGUUACUCGCAGAAUAAGCACCGGCUAACUCUGUGCCAGCCGCCGCGGUAA